UACGUAGGGGGGCAAGCGUUGUCCCGGAAUCAUUGGGCGUAAAGAGCGUGUAGGCGGCUUGUUAAGUCUUGCGUGAAAAUCUCGGGGCUCAACCCCGAGCGGUCGUGAGAAACUGGCAGGCUAGAGUGCGGGAGGGAGACUGGAAUUCCUGGUGUAGCGGUGAAAUGCGCAGAUAUCAGGAGGAACACCGGUGGCGAAGGCGGUCUCUGGGCCGAUACUGACGCUGAGGAGCGAAAGCGUGGGAGCAAACAGG
rnacentral:rRNA from 1 species